CAAGCAUUUAAUGACACCCGGUCAGCCAUUGAUUUGCCAAAUACAUGCGAAAACGUUGCCCUGCACACUCCAUCCAAUCCCCACAAUGGGGAGUCUCCCCACUGACGCUGUCCCUGGCAACCGGUGGAGGGGAAUCGGACCUGGAGCUGGAGCUGGAGUUGGUGCCAGGAACCAGUGGUGAUGACUUGGACCCCGUUUGAGUCAACACAGCCGCAGGGAUUGUCAAUACCGAGCAAAACCGGUCAGGCAUGGCACAUAGUUCACACAGGCGAGGGUUGGUCGAGGAUUUAUUGGUGACUUCUGGCAGAAUUUAUAAAACAUUGGAGACUCAGAUUUAAUUCUUAAAAUUGUCGCAAUUAUUCUGGUU
rnacentral:lncRNA from 1 species